GAGUCUGCUGUCCAUCUUCUUUUCCAGUGCAGAUUUUCGGCACGAGUUUGGAAUGAGAUCACCGCUUGGCUAGGCAUUCAAGACCACUCACCAAUGUUGUUGAGGCAUGAAGAUUCUGUCCGAUCAUGUUGGCAGAAGGCGGUGAGUGCUGGAGGUCAAAGACGGAAGGCCAUUGCUUCGGUUAUGAUGCUUGUCUCAUGAGAAAUCUGGAAGGAACGGAACGCAAGAAUUUUUCGCAACACGGCUGCCCCGACCUACGUCGUCGUCAGUAAAAUUAAAGAGGAAGCCCAUCUUUGGGCAUUGGCGGGAGCCAAGCAUUUGAGUCUUCUGAUGUCGCGAGAGUAG
rnacentral:rRNA from 1 species